rnacentral:rRNA from 1 species
UACGAAGGGGGCUAGCGUUGCUCGGAAUUACUGGGCGUAAAGGGCGCGUAGGCGGACAUUUAAGUUAGAGGUGAAAGCCCAGGGCUCAACCCUGGAAUAGCCUUUAAUACUGGAUGUCUUGAGUUCGGGAGAGGUGAGUGGAAUGCCGAGUGUAGAGGUGAAAUUCGUAGAUAUUCGGCGGAACACCAGUGGCGAAGGCGACUCACUGGUCCGAUACUGACGCUGAGGCGCGAAAGCGUGGGGAGCAAACAGG